ensembl:lncRNA
CGGAAGACGUGCUGUGUUUGCGCAUGCGCACUCUCCAAUGGCGGGCGCCAUUUUCUGAGGGCGCCCCGCUGCUGCGUUCUGUGGUAGGGCAGCAGCGCGGGAAGGCGUGGGCUUUGCAGCCUUCAGCUGAAAUCAGCACGGUUUGCUGUCUGCCAGGCAUCUGCAUUCAUGAAGAGAAUUCAAGAAGAGACCAUGGGGGUCUGAUAAAGACAGACAACUACUGUCCACUCCUCCUCCUUCAAGACAUAAACUGUUGACCAGCUCUGCAAGGAGGAGUGGAUUCAGCCAGACCUCGAGGCUCCUUGCCCCCGUGGUUCAAGUAGUUUAGAAAGCAGCCUCGUGACUCAAUGAAAGUGUUAAAUCACUGCGUGGUACCUACACUGCAUCAAUAAUACAAUGUUUAUUUUGUAUCAAUAAAUAGAUGUAAAUAUAGUAAAUACAAAAGCUUCCCUAUUGCAGGUCCAAAGAAGGGCAGCAAGGCUUGUGAAGGGCCUCAAGUUGCACCAGCUGGGGUCAGCCCUGAGCACAGCUGCAGCAGCGCAGCCAGCCAGCUCUUAGGGAGUGCAGCCUCUUCUCCCCCACGCUGCUGAGCCGGUAGCAAAGAGCUUGCAGGCUGAAUCCAGGGGAUGUUCUCAGGAGCUGGACGGUUUCAGCCACCAGGGUGGAAAAAGAAGAGCUGCUGGUGCGCUCCAAACUUCUCAGGGCUGAUGUGGAAGAGAAAAGAGUGGAGUUCAGAGCCCCUGUCUGUGCAAAGCAAGCCAGGAAACCCUCCUGCCGUGGCCACCACACCCAGCUCUUCCCAGGUCCAGCAUGGAGCAGGGAGACAGCGGGGUCAGCUGGAGAGGGGCUGGCAGCAAAUGCUCGCUGCUUUGCCCGCACUGCCCCUUGUCUGCAGAGGUUGCAGAGCCCUCCUGGGUUGGGACCGGGGUUGCAGCUCACUGCCCAGGGUCUUUUCUUCUCCCUGCCACAGCGCUCUGACCCCCUCACUGCCCUCACUCACCCUCGAUGGUGUCAUUCAGCUUCUCACUGCCGUCUCUCAAGCACCACCCAGCAAGCCCGAGGCACACACAGCCCGUCACAGAUCCCACUGCCAGCCCAUCCCCCCAGCACAGCACAGCCCCCCACCACCUGCUGGCCUGGCCACGUGCCUGCGAUGGCAGCACCCAAGGAGGCUUCGAGACACCCAGUAAGGCUCCCACUGGUACCUGCUGCGCGGACAGGGCUGGCAGAGGGCAGCAGGGAGACCCAUGAGGGCCCCAGCCCCUCCUUGGGCUGGCGUGGCUCCAUGGGCAUGUGGCUCAGCCAGCAGCAGCCGGUGCUGGGGCCAAGGUGAUGUGGGGCACAGAAGGGCCAGGGCUUGUGGCUCACCAAUGAACCUGACGGCCGCCUCUCGCAGGGGCUCAGCCUCGUGGGGAAAAAUGCAGGGGUGCCCCCAAGCCAGGGUGACUGGGAUGAGAGUGCAGGCACCAGCUCUGCUCUGUCGACGUGCAACCUGACCCUCCCCACUCUGCCAGAGACCCUGAGGUUUCAAAGGCACCUCCAGGAGGCACCACUUGCUUCUAGGCCCACCUCAACGAACGCAGCCAUGGCCCCGAUCUCCUUCUUUACCUGAACUGUGUUUCUGUACCUGAACUGUUUCUUCAAACACCACAGCACAGCAGAGUGGUCCUGUGUUUUGCAGCGUGCUGGCCGGGGGAAGAAUGCAGAGAUGUUCUCAGUUAGCUGAGAAGAGCCUUGCCUACGCACAACCACGGCAGCCAGGUACAGUCCCCCCAAGUGCCACCUGCCAGUCACCGUGAUGGAGCGAGCCCUCACCAGGGCAUGGAGCUCCUCGGUGCCAGAGGCAGGCUCCUCUGGGCGAUGGGGCCAGGAACAAGGCCUGAGCCCAGCCCCUCGACCUGUUUGUGGAACAGUGCAGUCAAGGUGCCGCUCUGCCCAGCCCUUGCACUGCAGCUUCCCAAAAAAGCCUGCUGCGGACCCUUCCGAGCAGCACCCGCCUCCUCAGAGAGUUCCAGCUGGCUCUGUGAACCACUGCAUUCCUCCUUUGUCCCCGGGCCAAGCAGAAAGAGACAGAAAGAGCUCCAGCUGUGGAGCUGAGGGGAAGCAAGGUGGCCCAUCUCAGAAGUGCUGUUUGCCCUCUGGCUGUUCUCCAGAAGGAGUGCUGGGGCAGAAAAGUCUUGCUGUGGGCUGGGUGGCAGAUGCAGACCCACCACCUUCUGAGGCCUUCCUUCUUAACCCACUGAGUGCCUCUGCAGGGGAUGUGUAGUGUGACCCUGGCUGGGGCUGCGGAGGUGCAGGGGCCAUGGUCAGUCCUCCCAGUGACUGGCCUGCAGCCUUCCCUGGGGGCUCUUUCUUAUACGAUGAGUGGAAAGCUUGGUCCUCUCCAAGAAGCACUUGGAGGUGUAUGGCUGAAGAGUCUCACUUUCCUCUGCAGAAAGAACCAGGCAGCUCACCCAUCGAACACUGCUGUCCAGGCAAGCUUGAGCUACCGGGAGGCAAUUCUGGAUCUCAGUGCCUUCUGCUUUUGCACCGCAAUCAUCGCUGUGGAACUGACAGAGGAGAACCUGAAGCAAUCCUUCUCUGCCAUCCAUCUGCUGGUGGCCAGGGAGCUGGGUCUCCAGGCUGGUGAGACUUGCAGUGACAGGCAGCGCACUCUGCAGACCACGCUCGAAGGCACAACAGAAGAGAGCAGCUAUUGCCUGCUCAACGAUGUUUUCUUAGUUGAGGUGAGAGUGAGAGGCUGACCUGCUGGGAUGCUCUGCUGCGAGCGGCUCAGCUCAGGGCUGGGAUUUGCGGGGCUCGUACCCCACCUCUCUGAUUCCUGUGCCCAGGAGUCUUCCUGUGCGUGGGGUGCUCCUGUGCCAUGCAUGUGCCCUGUGUCUUGUUCAGCACCCUGGAAAUGGCAUUGAAGAGGGGCUGGUGCUGGCCGCAUGCAAAAUCAGAGGCAUUUUGCUCUGCAGUCUUGCUCUGGGGGAUAGGUAUGCCCAGACCCUCAGCAAUGUUCCUCUCUGUCUUUCCUGGACAGUUUCCCAUCACAGACAAGGUUUGCAAGAUGUGUUGCGCUUGAACGGGCCAGUGCGUUCCACCUGACUUGUACACGAGUGCUACAGAUGAGCAUGUCUCCUUCCUCCUGUCUCAGAGGAGCCAAACAACUGUGCUGGCUGGCUGCGGGCUCCGCGCUGGAGCUGCUUGAGGGAUGGCAGGGCGAUGCACCUGGGUCAUGGCCCUUCUCACCUGAGAGGGGUGUCUUCUGGACAGUACUUUGCCCAAGUUCCCUCCUUCUGCUGGGGAACUGAUGUUAGAGGAGACUUUACGGUCUCGCAGAAACAAAUUUGGUAAACUCCUGGAGAGGGAGGUGGCUGAGGAGAGGCUUCUGAGUAUCCCCUUGUCCUAAGGAGAGAAAGGCUACGUGUCCUCCCCAGAAGACACUCGAGAAUCCACCAGAUUCCACUCAGAACCACCUGCUUUUUUCAGGUACUUAGAGGGGAAGUUGGUAUAUUUUUCAUUGACAACACCCACUUCCUGGACUCUGAGUCCUGG